rnacentral:lncRNA from 1 species
GUAACUCCCUCUCUCUCUUUUUAUUCCUUCCUUUCCCAGUGAUGAGAUAACUGAAAAAACCUGAAGUCCAUUUUUUCUAGAACCUGAUCACCACCCGUUUGAAUGAAGAAACAGAGGACUGUGUGAAAGUAAUGCCUUUGGCAACACACAUUGCUAAGAUCAUCUCACAUCUUCAUGUUAUCAUAUAAAGGAUUUUUUGAGCUUUGUUUGAGAACGGUGAAAAGCUCAUUACGAGCUGAAAACUGCUUGGGAUUUCAGUGUUGACAAUGAAAAUAUUAUUAUGGAAUUGCUGAAUAUGCAGAUAAUCUUUACAAAGCAACACCCUACUUGACCAACUAGUAGAUCAAGGGAAAAGGAGCAAUAUAAUUACACCAUUCUUCAUUUAUUAUGGCCUUUUCCCUCUACGUACAUGCUGAAAGAGAAGAAAAGAACUGUGAGGUGUCACAGGUUCCUGUCAUCUUCCAACCUGAACUGUGAGGUGUCACAGGUUCCUGUCAUCUUCCAACCAUCUUCCACACGUGUUUCCUUUUUCUCGUGUAUAUUUUGGUAGUAUUCGGAAGGCAUAAUACCUCAGGCAGUGCAGAAGAUGUGGUCGAAGGAUUAUUUCUACUCAGCAGGCUUUAGGUUCAUAUAAUGGAAGGUGUGAAGCACCACCAGAGAAUGAAGGAAAAGCUUCCUUGGACAUUAAUAGGUUGACUGCUAUGUCGCUGAACUUGGUGCAUGAAAGGUCAGCCUUUGAAACGCUAAAUAAGUUGAAGAAGAUGUAUAAAGUACAUGUGGAAAAGUAUGCAUCCUACAGUAGCAUUUGUAUUAAAAGACCACUUUGUGGGAGCAAUGAACCUUGUCAUCUUUAUCUGGAGUACAUAUUCUUUACCCCAGCCAUUUACAAGUUAGCAAUGUGA